GGAAUGAGAACAAUUUAAAUCCCUUAACGAGGAACAAUUGGAGGGCAAGUCUGGUGCCAGCAGCCGCGGUAAUUCCAGCUCCAAUAGCGUAUAUUAAAGUUGUUGCAGUUAAAAAGCUCUUAUUUGGAUUUCGGGGCGGCCCGACUGGUCCGCCGCGAGGUGAGCACUGGUCGGCCGCUCUUCCUCUCGGAAGCCCCGACUGCUCUUCGUUGCAGUGGUCGGGGAGUUCGGGACGUUUACUUUGAAAAAAUUAGAGUGUUCAAGGCAGGCCGUCGCCUGAAUACAUUAGCAUGGAAUAAUGGGAGAGGACCUCGGUCCCGUUUUGUUGGUUUCUUGGACCGAAGUAAUGAUUAAGAGGGACAGUUGGGGGCAUUCGUAUUUAAUUGUCAGAGGUGAAAUUCUCGGAUUUAUGAAAGACGAACGACUGCGAAAGCAUUUGCCAAGGAUGUUUUCAUUAAUCAAGAACGAAAGUUAGGGGUUCGAAGACGAUCAGAUACCGUCGUAGUCCUACCAUAAACUAUGCCGACUAGGGAUCGGUGGAUGUUAGCG
rnacentral:rRNA from 1 species